rfam:Salmo salar isolate Sally breed double haploid chromosome ssa01, whole genome shotgun sequence.
UGCAUUCGCUACUGUAAGUCGCUCUGGAUAAGAGUGUCUGCAAAAUGACCAAAA